CAUUCAAGGCGGCUCAGUCAUUCUGACUCCCACCUAGUGAUACAUGCAUUCAUUGAUUGAACACAUGUUUAUUCACUGAGCUCUGCAGGGUGCGAGUCCUGCUCCAGUCUGGGGAUUCAGCAGACAAUGGGGCAGGUGUCUUUGAAAGAAGCCCAUGUUCACGGGGCCUCAGAGAACUGACUGUGCAGGGGACACCACACUCGGCCUGCUCAGCGGAGGGGAAAGGUCGUCACUUAGAGUUGGAAGCCAAGAGCCAUCACCGGCGGAAUGCAAGUGACCAGGACUCCACCCAUGCCUUGAGACGCUGCCAGGAGAAAUCAGGCCCAGUGUGCAGGCUCACAGGGAAGCAAUGCCCAGAGAAGCACGAGGUUGUCCCCUGCCCCCCACAGGGUGGUGGGGCAGCAGGAUGCAGCUGAUGAGGAGGUAGAGAGGCUAUCCAGCCUCACUGUCCCAUCCCUCUCACUGCCCAUCCAGUGAGUGGCUAAGUGGGGCCCGUCUGCCACCCUCAAGCACUCCAGAGAGACAGUAAACAGAGAGGAGCAGAGGGUGGAAACUCCACCCAGCCCUCUUCCUCUGGGUUCAAGUCCAUCCUCAUUCUCAGGCAUUGAGGGAGCCUCCUGCAUGGAGCGAGGCCCGUGUGGGGACCGGCCAGUUUGCUUUGGGAGAUCUCCUGCCAUAGUAGAACCCACAAUAUUUAGUAUUUUAAAUACUUCUGGUACCUGGGAUCAGAGUGUACGACACAGACAGGGCGCCAAGGUCCGACUGAAAACGUAAAUACACGUCGGGCAUGGUGGCACGUGCUGGGAGGCUGAGGCAGGAAGAUCACGAGUUCAAGCCCAGCUAGGCAGCUGAGUAGGACACUCUCAAACUAAAGAUUUAAAGGAAGGCUGGGGCUGUGUCUCAGCGUGAAGGCCUCGGGUUCAGUUCCCAGGCUCAUGCGCACGCACACGUACACACGACUGGAGACCUUCCCAUCGCCAGAACUCAUCAUCAUCAACACGCUUCUGUUCCAGGCGGGCCACCCAGCUGCGGAAUUCUGUCCCAGCAGCAAAUGCCAGGCACCCAGCUCUGCACAGGCACCGAACCAGGCCCCGGGCUCAGAAGGUGCACACAUAAACCACCAGUCCUGCAGCCCAAGUGGGUGAAAACCCGCUGGGUCCCGUGACGUGGAGAAGAGGAAUCGUGUAAUUACCAAACUUGCAAUUACCAAACGGGGUCCCCCUAACUUCGCCGAGGAUGUUUUAUAUACGGCUUCCAAAGUGAUGGGCUUACCGGCAUGCACCACUGCGCUCAGCUGGAAUUAAUUAAAAGAAGACGAAAAAGGAGCAGAAGGAGGAGAAAAAGAAAAAGGAAGAGGAGAAGGAGAAAGAGCUGUAAAGAACUGAUCAAUGCUAUAAUCUAGAAGAACUUCAAGUACCGCGUGUGACUCUGUGAAAUGUCCCAGAAAGCAGGCGUCUAGGCACAGCAUAGACACUGGGUUGUCUGGGUUUGGGGUGGGAACAUGGGACAGAGGGCAGAGGGUCCUCGGGGUCGAAUGGAAGAAUUCUUAAGUGAGGUGGGAGUGCUGGUUGUAAAACGUAGAACAUCUACUAAAAAGAAGUCCCAGAACUGUAUGCGUUAGAUGAGUGGGCUUUACACUAGAUAACACUGCUUUAAAAGCCAAAAUAUACCAUCAGAGAAGCCUCUCUUCCGAUCCAUCUUCCACUCCCUUCUCUCCCAUUUUCAUCAGUUUCCGAUAGAUGCUGCCAGUCUUGCUUUGGAACAUACAAAUACAUAUGAUGUUUUAUAAUGUUUAA